AAUAGGCAGAGCGCUAGGACCUCCCCCUUCGGGCUCCAGAGCUAGAAAAGAGCGUCGAUGCCGGCGGCAGUGAUGAGUUGUAGGAGGAGCUGGGUGCUUGGCGUUGCUGAGGAGCGGCUGCUGCUACUGCUGCUGCUGGUGGCCUCUUUACAGAUGUAUUGCUGUCAUUGAAUAUUGGCCCAUUUGAAAGUGCUAGGGAAGCUCAAUCAUCAGGAUGUCCAAGUACAAACUGAUUAUGUUAAGACAUGGAGAGGGCGCUUGGAAUAAAGAGAAUCGUUUUUGUAGCUGGGUGGAUCAGAAACUUAACAGUGAAGGAUUGGAGGAAGCUCGGAACUGUGGAAAGCAACUCAAAGCACUAAACUUGGAGUUUGAUCUCGUAUUCACAUCCAUCCUGAAUCGGUCCAUCCACACAGCCUGGCUGAUCCUGGAAGAGCUGGGCCAGGAGUGGGUUCCGGUGGAAAGCUCCUGGCGUCUAAAUGAGCGUCACUAUGGAGCUUUGAUCGGUCUCAACAGGGAGCAGAUGGCUUUGAAUCACGGUGAAGAACAAGUGAGGCUCUGGAGAAGAAGCUACAAUGUGACCCCACCACCCAUUGAGGAAUCUCACCCUUUCUACCAUGAAAUCUACAAUGACCGGAGGUAUAAAGUGUGCGACGUACCUGUGGAUCAGCUGCCCCGAUCUGAAAGCUUAAAGGAUGUUCUGGAGAGACUCCUUCCCUUUUGGAACGAAAGGAUUGCUCCUGAAGUAUUAAGUGGCAAAACCGUUCUGAUAUCCGCUCAUGGAAAUAGCAGUAGGGCUCUCCUGAAGCAUCUGGAAGGUAUCUCCGAUGAAGACAUUAUCAACAUUACUCUUCCCACUGGAGUCCCCAUUCUCCUGGAACUGGAUGAGAACCUGCAUGCUGUUGGGCCCCACCAGUUCCUGGGUGACCAAGAAGCUAUCCAAGCCGCCAUUAAGAAAAUAGAUGAUCAAGGAAAAGUGAAAAAACAAGCUGAAAAAUGAAGGGUUCUGGCUGCACUGGUGAUGAAGAUGGCUGGGAAGAAGAGCUGACGUUGGUGUGCUCACAGCUGACCACAUCUGUGACGCAUAAGGACGUGGAAUCUUUUCUGUAGGUUUGAAAUUUUUCAAAAUGAGACCAGGAAAACUAAAGUGACAGGAGGAAAAAAAAAACGCACAAAGAAGCAACUAAAACAACCUCUCUAUAGUGACUUGGAUAAAGGUACCUGCUUUCUGUGCCGUUUCACUCUUCCUGAAAUCUCAGUCCUUGUUAGGUGAGAGAAGAACUCCUCACGCCUGUAUUGUCAAGAAACAAGUACCCUCAUUUUAUUUCAGUUACGCUUGGUGCUGCAGUUAUAGGCAUUACACCAACACUUAGCUUUUCUGCUGAGAGAGCAAAUCAGGAACGGGGUUACGAUUGCCAUUACCUUGUAGCUGAACAAAUGGGAAAUGGAAUUUCUUUCUCCUGGUGCAAAACUUUCUGUUUAAUCUCCUUUACUGCCUUAGGGUGGCAUUCCUUCUCACUGUCACCAUUUGGCUCCGAAACCUUAUGUAAUGUCUGGGCCUAGGGUUCCUUGAAUUUGAGCUCGCUGCAGUGGCAGGCUUGCAAAUGUUCCUCGUGUCACUCAUCUCAGGGUCCUAGCCCCCACCCGAAUCCAUAUGACUCUGAAGCAGCCUUGGUUUCUGCUCUUCCUCCGUGCAUCCUUCUGCUAAGACUGCUGAGGGUCAGAGGCCUGCAGUGACUGGCUCUCACUGCCCCAAACAACAGGCAAAUGGACCGUGUUGGUACUAAAGAUUUGCCUUUUAUUUAUGCUGUGAUUGACCAUGUAAGCCUUCAGUCUAGUCUCGCUUAAAAAACAAAGUUUGUGAAAAAGAUCCCAUUUUCGUGAAGGAAGCUCUACCUCUCAAGACAGUUUUAUUGCUCAAUCUGUUCAUUUAAUUCUCUGCAAAGCCAAGUUUUUUUAGACUUCAGCAUAGCCCAGUAAACACAAACGCAACUCCAAAGAACCAGCGCCUAGUUUCCAGUGUGCAGAAGAUAGAUGCCUACUGAUAGUAACUUUAGCAACCGUUGGCCAAGAUGUCAGAUGGUCACUUUCUCACUUUCUCAAUAAGGCAACUGCAGCGCCGAGUUUACUCAAGGAUUUUUCAUGAAUUCACCCGAGCCUCACAGCUACUGCAAAGGGAAUGUCCACCAACCAUGCUGCCUUGCCUCCACUCGAGAGGAAACUUCAUUUGACAUAAUGCUGACCUCGGUGAGGAAUCAGAGGGUUAUUAGUGAAAUUCAUUGCAUAAAAUCUACCCUGUUAGUGAGAAGACUCUUGGGACUAAUUGAAACUGGACCUUGGAACAAAGAGGGUAAAGUCCAUCACAUAGUUAUGUGCCCACUGGCCACUUGGAUUGAGGCCCUUAAUCCAUUCUGACACUUGUUCUAUAGAAUAUCCAUCAGAGUUCCCCAGGCAGUCCUUGGCCAUAGGUUAGCUAGUCAGCAUUUUAAUUUCUUAAGCACACUAGGAUUCUGAACUGGACUGUAGGGAAUGGGAUUUGUAGCUGGAAUUCCACAUACUUUCCCGGGAGUCUUGGUAUUUUAUAAUCUUUAUUUUUUAAUCCUUAUUUAAUCUUAUUUCUACACCCAGACACUGGGGGUCAGUAUUUGUUCAUAAAUGCCUCUGGAUUUGCCUGCAAACCUGGUUCUGACUAUUUACAAGAGGUCAUGGCCAAAGAGGCCUGAAAUCGGUUGUGGGAUUUCUUUCCCUGAUUAUGUAACUGUAGAGCUCAGCCGAUGUAAACAUAGAAUGUAAAUAGAGACCUCAUGGAUCCCCAUGGAAUUGUAACCUGGGAAAGAGGCAGACAUGAAUAAAUAUAAAUUUAGAUUUUCAAUCUAAAAUAUAAACUCAUACCAAGUCCUUGCUGGUUUCUGGAGUCUUGCUGGUGUCUGGCAACAGGGGUCCUACCAAUGCACUCGGAUGCUCAGCCAGCAUCCUGGCUGUCACCGUGACUUCCUUCUGAUCAGUUACAGAGUCCUGUUGAUUUUCUUUCCUUGUUCCUUUCAAAUCCAUCUCCUCUCUAUCCUCCACGCUCAGGCCCUGGGUCACAUCCUCAGCUUUGCUCUCUUUAAACAUUUCAAACAUUGGUCUCCCUCCUUCUACUUUUACUCUUCUCCAGUCCUCUCCAAAAAUUUGUCGGGUGACUUUUCAAAAGCUCUGCCACACAGAACUUGAUGCAGACUUUCAGGGACACCAACACGUUUUUAAGGAUCUGCCUUUGCCCUCAUCGUCUAUCACCUGCUCCUUACCUGCCUAGUAUCUGCUCAUCCCUCAGGACUUGUAGGCUCCCUUAGAGUCCCUGGCUUACCUAUGCCAGACCUCACUUGUCCCCUUGUCCCUUCUCUUUGCUGGCAGGAGAAUUGAACAAAUCCCAAGUCCUCCACCUCAUGAAGCUGAGUGCCAGACAAGAUCAUGCAGAUUUACUCUCCAAAAUUUCAAAAAUGUAUCCCCCUUGAGCCCUGGACUGUUCAUUUUUAUUGAUUCUUUAAAAUAGUUCUCGUCUAGCAGAUAUUUGAUCUUAAUCUGUACUGUGCUCUCUGGCUAUCUUCCCAUCAGUCCACACAGAUGUGGAAACCCUGCUGCUGAUAGACAGAGAGCCAAGUGAAGCCAAGUGGCCUGACAGCUCAGAGCAUUUCUCCAUGGGCAGCUGCCAUCAUGGUGUGCAAACAGGUUAAUGACUUGUGUUCUUGCUUUUUAUUCAAAUUACAGAGUUAAAUGUAGCAGUAUAAAUAUUUUGAAAACAAGUAGAGAAGGGGCGCCUGGGUGGCUCAGAUGGUUAAGUGUCUGCCUUCGGCUCAGGUCAUGAUCCCAGGGUCCUGGGAUCGAGCCCCACAUCGGGCUCCUGGCUCAGCGAGGAGCCUGCUUCUCCCUCUCCCUCUGCCUCUCUCCCUGUUCAUGCUUUCUCCCUCCCUCUCUCUGUAUCUCUGUGUCUCAAAUGAAUAAAUAAAAUCUUAAAAAAAAAAAAUUAAAGUUUAAAAGAAAAGAAAAUAAGUAGAGAAGAUUCCUUAAUCCUAUUAUCCUGAAAACUAUUUCAUUUAUUUCUUCCUAUAUGCAUUUUUCACAUAGAUAUAUUCUUAAUUUACAUUCCAUUGUGUGUUUUUUAAUCAUAAAUAUUUCUCCGUGGUUCAUGGGCUUCAAACAAUCUUAAUAUAUGGGUAAAUAUUGGCCCAUCAUUUGGAUAGAACUUAAAUGUCCCAACAGGGAAAAAAAAAUUAGAUGCUUUCAAUAUUCUGCUAUAAUAACUAAUUCUGUUUCUAUAACUUCCUUACAGGCCCAUCUUGAAUGUGUGUGAGGUUCAGUACAAGAGCACAAUGGCGGCCCACAUGCUACUUGUCUAAAUAUUUUAAACUACCAAUCAAGCUAACAAACUUACAUAAAAGGUUUUGUAUGUUUUAUGUAACCUGACAAAUACACCUUCAAAACAAAAAGUAUUUUAAAAUAUGUAGACAUUUUCUAUGACUGAAAGCCAGCAAACAUCAAGAAUGGUUAUGGAAGUCUUCUCUGAAAAGAUUUCAUAUAUACUAAACCUUGAAUGAUACAACCCAUGUGUCAGGGUGUGCACUUGUGCAUAUGCGUGUGUGAAUGCUAAGGCAGAAAAGGGGUAUUUAAGAAGUAGGUAAUAGCUAAAGUCAGGGUAGCUUGGGCACAGUAAUGAGCAGUGAAGCAUCAUGGGAUGGGAUUAGAGAAGUAGACAGAAGCUACAUUGGGCUAUGUGAGAGGGAUGGAAGAUAUGAGGAAGGUCUUCUCAGCAGAAGAGUGGUCCAGUGGUCCAAGCCCUUCUGGCCACAAAGAGCUUCAGCCAUUUGAGCAUAGUCUCCCCAAGGCAACAUUUUACUUUCCACUGUUGUGAAAUCUAAUCCCUAUGAGAAUCAUAGAUCCUAUCAUCUUUAAAGAGAGAUUAAGCCUCCCAAAUAUAUGAAUCACUGAGAGAACUGAAAGGAGAAAUGGACAGCAAUACAAUAAUAGUAGGAGACUUUAAUACCUCCCCUUCAGUUAGGCUAGAACUACUAGACAGAAGAUCAACAGGGAAACAGAGGACUUGAACAACACGAUGGAACCAAUUGGACCUAAGAGACAUAUAUAAAACACUGCACCCCAAAACAGCAGAAUACACAUUCUUCUCAAAUGCACAUAGAACAUUCACCAAGAUAGAUCACAUGCUAAGUCACAAAGUAAGUCUUAACAAAGUUAAGAAGGUUGAACUCAUACAAAGUAUCUUCUUUGACCACAUGAAAUGAAACUAGGAUUCAAUAGCAGAAAGAAAACAAAAAUCAGCUAAAAUAUGGAAAUACAUAAUUCACUUUUGAAACAAUAAGUCAAAGAAGAAAUCACAAGGGAAUUUAGAAGAAAUCUGGAGGUAAAAUGAAAAUACAACAUUCCAAAAUAUAUGGAACAGUAAAAGCAGUACUAAGAAGAAAGUUUAUAGUGACAAAUGCUUACAUUAAGAAGAAAGGUCUCAAAUCAACAAUCUAAUUUUGCAUCUCAAGGAAUUACAAAAGGAAGAGCAAACUAAACCAAAAGUUAGCAGAGAGAAGGAAAUAAUAAAGAUUAGAGCACAGAUUAAUGGAAGAGAGACUAGAAGCAAUAGAAAAAUUAACAAGACCAAGAAUUGGUUUUUUGAAAAUAUCAACAAAAUUGGCAUAUCCUUAGCUAGACUCAGAAAAAGAGAUGAAACUCAAAAAUUAAAAUUAGAAAUGAAAGAAGGGACAUUACAACUGAUGUCACAGGAGUAAAAUGAUUAUAACAGACUACCAUGAACAAUUAUAUGCCAACAAGCUGGAUAACCUAGAAGAAAUGGGUACAUUCCUGGAAACAUCAACCUACCAACACUGACCCGUAAGAAAUAAAAACAAAAAAAAAUCAGAAUAGACUUAUAACUAAUAAAGAGAUUAAAGCAGUAAUCAAAAGCCUCCCAACAAAGGAAAGUCCAGGACCAGAGGCUUCACUGGAAAAUUCUACCAAAUAUUUAAAGAAGAAUUAAUACCAAUCCUUCUAAAACUUUUCCAAAGAACUGAAGAUGAGGGAACAUUUUCAAACUCAUUCUAUGAGGCCAGAAUUACUCUGAUGCCAAAAAAGAAAGAAAAGCCACUCAAAUUGGAAAGAAAAAAGUAAAAUUAUAUCUGUUUCACAGAUGACAUAAUUUUAUAUGAGAAAACCCUAGGGAUUACACAAAAAAACUGUCAAAAUGAAAUUAUUUUAACAAAGUUACAGGCUAGAAAAUCACACAAAAAUCAACUAUGUUUCUAUACACUAACAAUGACCAAUCUGGAAAGAAAAUUAAGACAACAAACUCAUUUACUAUAAAAUCAAAAAGAAUAAAAUACUUAGGAAUAAACUUAAUCAAGAUGAAAAUCUUGUACACCGAAUGCUACAGAACAUUGCUAAAAGAAAUUAAAGAAGAUACAAAUAUAUGGAAAGACAUUCUGUCUCAUGGAUUGGAAGAUUUAACGUUGUUAAAAUGUCCAUACUAGCCAAAGUUAUCUACAGAUUCAGCACAAUCCCUAUCAAAAUCCCAAUGGCAUUCUUUGCGGGGAUAGAACUAAAUAUCCUAAAAAGGAAUCUCCAGAGACCUGCAAUACCCAAAGCAAUCUUGAGGCCUCACACUGCCUGAUUUCAGAACAUACUACAAAGCAACAAGACUGUGUAGGACUGCCAUAAAAACAGGUAUAUAAACCAAUAGAACAGAACAGAGAUCCCAGGAAUAAAGUUUUGCAUGAUAUGGUCAAAUGAUUUUUGAUAAACAUGCCAAAACUACACAGUGGGGAAAGAACAGUCUCUUCAAAUGGUAUUGGGAAAACUGGAUAUCCAUAUGCAAAAGAACUAAGUUGGACCUUACCUUACACCACACAUAAAAAUCAACUCAAAAUGGUUUGAAAACUUAUCCACAAGACCUAAAAAUAUGAAACUCCCAGAGAAAAUUUAGGGAGAAAGAUUCAGGACACCGGAUUUGGCAAUGAUUUCAAAAGCACAGGCAAUGAAAGCAAAAAUAGGCAAAUGGAACUAUAUCAAAUGUAAAAACUUCUGUGCAUCAAAGGAAACUUUGAACAGAGUGAAAAGACAACCUACAGAAUGGGAGAAAAUAUUUGCAAAUCAUAUAUAUAAGAGGUUAUAUCCAAAAUAUGUAAGGAAUUUCUACAACUCAACAACAACAAAAAACAACCCAAUUUAAAAAUGCGCAAGGGACUUGAAUAGACAAUUCUCCAAAGAGAAUAAACAAAUGGACUACACACAUAUGAAAAGAUGUUCAACAUCAUUUAUUAUAAGAGAAAUGCAAAUCAAGGGGCACCUGGGCGGUUCAGUUGGUUAAGCGUCUGACUCUUGAUUUUGGCUCAGGUCAUGAUCUCAGAGUUGUGAAAUUGAGCCCCACCAUCAGGCUCCGUGAUUCUCUCUCUGCCUCUGCCCCUCCAACCCCUCUCUCCUCCUCUUUAAAAAAAAAGAAAAAAUGAAAAAUGCAAAUCAAAACUACAUUGAGACAUCACUUCACAUCCCUUAGAAUGGCCAUUAUCAAAAGAACAGAAAAUAACAAGUGUUGGCAAGGAUGCAAAGAACUCUUUGGCACUGUUGGUGGGGAUGUAAAAUGGUGCUGCCAUUAUGAAAAACAGUAUAGAAGUUCCUCAAAAAAUUAAAAAUAGCAUUACCAUAAGAUCCAGAAAUCCCACUUCUAGGUAUAUAUCCAAGAAUUCAAACCAGGAUAUUGAAGAGAUAUUUAUAUACCUGUCAAUUACAACGUUAUUCACAACAGCCAAGAGAUGGAAGCAACCCAAAUGUCCACUGACAAAUGAAUGGAUAAAGAAAACGUGAUAUAUACAUACAGUGGAAUAUUAUGUAGACUUAAAAAAGAAGGAAAUUCUCUCACCUGCUACAACAUGGAUGAACCUUGAGGACAUUCUGCUAAGUGAAAUAAGCCAGUCAGAAAAGGGGAAAUACUGUAUGAUUCCAUUCAUAUGAAGUAUCUAAAGUAGCCAAAAUCAUACAAGCAGAAAUUAGAAAGGUGAUUGCCAAGGCCUAGGGGGAGAGGGGACUAGUAGUUAAUGGUUAUAGAGUUUCAGUUUUGCAAGUUGAAAAAGUUCCAGGGAUCCUGCUGCACAACAGUGUGAACAUAUUUAAUUAAACUGUCCACUUAGGGCGCCUGGGUGGCUCAGUUGGUUAAGCGACUGCCUUCGGCUCAGGUCAUGAUCCUGGAGUCCCGGGAUCGAGUCCCGCAUCGGACUCCCUGCUCAGCAGGGAGUCUGCUUCUCCCUCUGACCCUCCUCCCUCUCAUGCUCUCUCUCUCUCAUUCUCUCUCUCAAAUAAAUAAAUAAAAUCUUUAAAAAAAAAUUUUUAACUGUCCACUUAAAAAUGCUUACAUUGGUAAAUUUAAUGUCAUGUGUUCUUAUGAUAAUAUAGAAAAGAGAUUAAGAGAAAGAUGUCUGUACUUUUUUUUAAAGAUUUAUUUAUUUUAGAGAGAGUGUGUGUGUGUGGAAGUGGGGAGAGGAGCAGAGGGAGAGAAUCUCAAGUAGACUCCCCACGGAGCGUGGAGCCCAAUGCGGGGCUGGAUGCCACGACCCUGAGAUCACAACCUGAGCUGAAAUCAAGAGUCAGACACUCAACUCUCUGAGCCACCCAGGCGUUCCAAGACUUCCACACUUCUAAAUGCACCACUGCUGGAAAUGAUGUCAUGACAAGCAUCAAAAUGAAACGAAAACGACGAUGACUAUUUUUAUGACUGUCAAAGUCAUGCAAAAGUACUAUAUUUGAAAUCUUGAUUUUAACUUUUACCAUACAGGUGUCAUGAAUUACUCCCAAAGAUGAUUCUCUGAUGCAAAGUAAGCCUGUCUUAGAUCUCGUUAAAUCCUCACAGCAAUACUACAAGGAUGCAUUCUCACCUGACAGAGGAGCCUCAGAGAAGCUGAGUAACUGGCCCAAAGUCACAAAGCUAAUAUAGGGCUGCCUCAGGAUUCAAAUCCAGGGCUCUCUAACUCCACAGCCCAUGCCCUUGGCCACUACACCAUACUGCUUUUAGUUUGAAAAAAAAUUUUUAAAUUGAGAUGUCCGUUUAAAAUUGGCCAAAGAUUAUCCAAUGAAGCUACAGUGAGCAAAUCCCAUUUUCAUUCUCUUACAAACUAAUAUGGUGCCACAUAAGUCCAACAGAACACUGAGUGGAGCUAGAGAGCUUAGAUUUUUCACACAAAAUUUAAGUGUUUGCUUUUCUCCAUGAGACAAAUAGAGUUUGCUUUCCUUCUUUUCUCAAACCAUCUGCUUUGAUAUUUGGGGAGUCCUGAGCUUAUGUGUUAAAGCCUCGCUGGAUUAUAUGAAUACAUACAUAGGAAUAGGUGAGCUGAACAUUUUACUUGCCAAAAAGUAAAACAAACAUUGUGCCUUCUUCAGUAUGCGGUAUUUAAAGCCACAGCGCUCCAGCCUUGGAAAACUAUCAGUGCCAGGAUCCCCAGUCAGAAACAGUAGAAACCACUCUCGCUAGUCUAAACAAAACAGGAGUUUGUUAAAGGAUAUCAAGUGCCUCACAAACUUCUUGGGAAGGCCAGAGAAUUGAGCUUGGAAGGCCACUCUGCUGAGAAUAACACCCAAAGCAUGGAGUGGGGAUGACUCCAGCAAGGACUCCAAUGCCCCCGCCAUUGGGCACAGACACUGUAGCUCCCAGCGAUGACUUUGGGCACUGUGCUAGAACAUCUGCUGCUGCUAUCCCAAUUGGCAACGGUCUAGUAGAUUGCAAAAACAGCCAUAAAUUCUUCUUUUCUCCUGUAUCCAUCCAUCCAUGCUCCUUUACCAGGAAACUUUGAAUGACCUCCCACCUGAUUCUGGGCUCAGCCAACGGGAUGUCAGGAAAGAGACACUAGCAGAGACUUGAGAAGCCUGCGCACUAUGGAGCUUGUCUUCUUUUGGAACCCUGAUGCUGCCACGUAGAGAAACCCAAGUUGACCUGCGGGAUGAUGAGAUAUACACGGCACAGUCACUCCUGCUACCCAAACCUACAGCUUGUCAACCACCAGACAUGGAAUUUGAGGCCAUCCUAGAUCUCCCAUCUCUUAGGCAACCUGCCAGUUCACCAUGGACACAUGAGUGAGCCCAGCAAUGAUCAACGAAGCUGGCACAGACCACACAGUCUGGCCAACCCACAAAAUCACAAGCUAAAUAAAUGGUGGUUAUUGUAAGUCACUAUGUUUGGGGUAUCAGCAGCAAAAGGUACCUGAUAUUAGUUUACUAAAUUCUUUCACAUACCUUAUCUCACUCUCCUCUACUCACAACUCUCUACGGCAGGAGAAGCAGAUAUAUUAUCCACAUGUUCCAAGGGGAGGAAAUUAAGCCCCACAGAAGCUUAAUGACUUGCCAAAUGUCAAAGUGCUAAUAAAUAAAAAAGGUGGAUUUAGAAUGGAGGUUACCUUGACCCCCUAGUCAAAAUAUACACAUCAACCAUAUUGUUUUGUUUGAGCCAAAGCAGUAGCGCAAUAUGGCUUCAGCUUAGCCAAUGGUUCUGCCAACAUAGUCCUAUCUCCUCUGAUUGCCAUCUGAACUCUUAAAAUUCAAGAGGGGAUCCCUCUGUCAAAAUCUGUUCCAUCACUUAGAGGCAACUAUCAAGUAGCCAGACUGGGCUAGAGUUUCAGGUGAUCGUAGGGAAUAAGCAGGCAAAUAUCUCCUGUGAAGAGCAUACUUUGGAAGAAGUCAACAUUUCUUCAUCUCUAUGGAUCUCUGCUCUGGUCUCCCACUUGCUGAUAAACUCUUACAGAUGCUAGCAUAGGUAAGAGGAUUGAACGUGUUAUAGGCAAAUAUAUUAGGAUGGAAUUUGGGGUCAGUACUAAUAUGAAGGCAAGCUCUUCGUUCUAUUAAGGAGCUUAACUCAAGUUUGUUGUUAGCUAUGGUUCUAGGAGGAAUGUGCAUGGUUGUUAUGAAGUGGGAAUGAUAAAAUACUGUUGGUGUUCAUUAGCAGGGUUCACAAAAGCUUUCAUGGGGAAUAUAGCAUUGAAGCUGGGAUUACAGCAGAAGAAUGGGAGGACAGGGAGGUGAGCAAGUCUGGCAGGAGGCUGGCUAGAAGGGGUCUGAGAAAAUGGGAAGACCCAAAUAGACUAAGGUAGGUUUUAAGCAGAAAUGACCAGAAAUAACCUUAACUGAAAAAGAGAAGUGGUUCAUAAAUGCACCAAUUCUAGGAUUUGCUGGCAAUAAGAAAUCAAUGAAACAGGUACUAGCUUAUAAUCUGAAGAAGAAAGAAAGGGGCUGGUGUAGGGAAACAUAAUGAGUUUCAUUUUGAAUAUGUUGGGCUUAAAGUAUCAGUAGAUUAUCUUUAUGGGCAUGUCUGUGACCAGUAAAAAACAUAGCGCUGGACCACAAAAGAGAAGCCAAUGGGUUCAGCUGUGAUUCCCACCUUGUAGAGUUUUGUGAGAACGAAAUAGGAAAAUAUAUCUACAUGUCUAGUGGAGUGCUUAGCCACAGAAGAAAGUUUAAAUUACCGUUCAGUUCCUAGAAUAAACAGUUUCCUUACCCCACUUUUUCCUUCUCCCUUGGCAGUGGGGAAUCCUGACUUUGAAUGUUUCCUAGGAUCUGCCAAGACUACCUGAAAGACCUUUGCCAAGUGCCCAUCAUCAAGAAUGGUUUGGGAACCCUGUUCUAGAGAAAACAGUAUGGUGGUUUUUUAAAAAAUUAAAAAUAGGAUCACAGUAUGAUUCUGCAAUUCUACUUCUGAGCAUAUGGCCAAGAUAAUUGAAAGUAGGGUCCUGAAAAGAUAUUUGUAUACCCAUGUUCUCAGCAGCAUUGUUCAAAAUAGCUAAAACAAGGAAACCACCCAAAUGUCCAUUGACAGUUGAAUGGAUAAACAAAAUGUGGUAUGUACAUACAACACAGUAUUACUCAGCCUUAAGAAAGAAGGAAAGUCUGGGGCGCCUGGGUGGCUCAGUCAUUAAGCGGCUGCCUUCGGCUCAGGUCAUGAUCCCAGAGUCCUGGGAUCGAGCCCCGCAUCGGGCUCUCUGCUCAGCGGGAAGCCUGCUUCUUCCUCUCCCGCUCCCCCUGCUUGUGUUCCUGCUCUCUCUCUGUCUCUGUCAAAUAAAUAAAUAAAAUCUUUAGAAAAAAAAGAAGAAAGAAGGAAAUUCUGACAUGGGCUACAACACAGAUAAACUUUGAAGAUAUUAUGCCAAGUGAAAUAAGCUAGUCACAAAAAGGCAAAUACUAUAUGAUCCCACUUGUAUGAGAAUUUA